rnacentral:rRNA from 1 species
GAUUGACCGCUGGCGGCAUGCCUUCCACAUGCAAGUCGAACGGCAGCACGGGUGCUUGCACCUGGUGGCGAGUGGCGAACGGGUGAGUAAUACAUCGGAACAUGUCCUGUAGUGGGGGAUAGCCCGGCGAAAGCCGGAUUAAUACCGCAUACGAUCUACGGAUGAAAGCGGGGGACCUUCGGGCCUCGCGCUAUAGGGUUGGCCGAUGGCUGAUUAGCUAGUUGGUGGGGUAAAGGCCUACCAAGGCGACGAUCAGUAGCUGGUCUGAGAGGACGACCAGCCACACUGGGACUGGGACACGGCCCAGACUCCUACGGGAGGCAGCAGUGGGGAAUUUUGGACAAUGGGCGAAAGCCUGAUCCAGCAAUGCCGCGUGUGUGAAGAAGGCCUUCGGGUUGUAAAGCACUUUUGUCCGGAAAGAAAUCCUUGGCUCUAAUACAGUCGGGGGAUGACGGUACCGGAAGAAUAAGCACCGGCUAACUACGUG